UACGUAGGGCGCAAGCGUUGUCCGGAAUUAUUGGGCGUAAAGAGCUCGUAGGCGGUUUGUCGCGUCUGCUGUGAAAACCUAAGGCUCAACCUUGGGCUUGCAGUGGGUACGGGCAGACUAGAGUGCGGGUAGGGGUGACUGGAAUUCCUGGGUGUAGCGGUGGAAUGCGCAGAUAUCAGGAGGAACACCGAUGGCGAAGGCAGGUCACUGGGCCGCAACUGACGCUGGAGGAAGCGGAAAGCAUGGGGAGCGAACAGG
rnacentral:rRNA from 1 species